rnacentral:rRNA from 1 species
AACGAACGCUUGCGGCAUGCCUAACACAAGCAAGUCGAACGAGCUCUUCGGGUCUAGUGGCGCACGGGUUCGUUACGCGUUGGAAUCUGCCCUUUGGUUCGGAAUAACAGUUGGAAACUUCUGCUAAUACCGGAUGAUGACGAAUGUGCAAUGAUUUAUCGCCAGAGGAUGAGCCCGCGUAGGAUUAGCUAGUUGGUGUGGUAAAGGCGCACCAAGGCGACGAUCCUUAGCUGGUCUGAGAGGAUGAUCAGCCACACUGGGACUGAGACACGGCCCAGACUCCUACGCAGGACAACAGUGGGGAAUAUUGGACAAUGGGCGAAAGCCUGCACAAGCAAUGCCCAGGAAGUGAUGAAGGCCUUAGGGUUGUAAAGCUCGUUUACCCGAGAUGAUAAUGACAGUACCGGGAAGAAUAAGCUCCGGCUAACUCAAGGCCAGCCGCCGCAGUAA